rnacentral:rRNA from 1 species
GGCGGCGUGCCUAAUACAUGCAAGUCGAGCGAAUUGAUGGGAGCUUGCUCCCUGAUAUUAGCGGCGGACGGGUGAGUAACACGUGGGUAACCUGCCUGUAAGAUUGGGAUAACUCCGGGAAACCGGAGCUAAUACCGGAUAACAUGUUGAACCGCAUGGGUCAACAUUGAAAGAUGGCUUUUGCUAUUACUUACAGAUGGACCCGCGGCGCAUUAGCUAGUUGGUGAGGUAACGGCUCACCAAGGCGACGAUGCGUAGCCGACCUGAGAGGGUGAUCGGCCACACUGGGACUGAGACACGGCCCAGACUCCUACGGGAGGCAGCAGUAGGGAAUCUUCCGCAAUGGACGAAAGUCUGACGGAGCAACGCCGCGUGAACGAUGAAGGCCUUCGGGUCGUAAAGUUCUGUUGUUAGGGAAGAACAAGUACCAGAGUAACUGCUGGUACCUUGACGGUACCUAACCAGAAAGCCACGGCUAACUACGUGCCAGCAGCCGCGGUAAUACGUAGGUGGCAAGCGUUGUCCGGAAUUAUUGGGCGUAAAGCGCGCGCAGGUGGUUUCUUAAGUCUGAUGUGAAAGCCCACGGCUCAACCGUGGAGGGUCAUUGGAAACUGGGGAACUUGAGUGCAGAAGAGGAAAGUGGAAUUCCAGUGUAGCGGUGAAAUGC